rnacentral:rRNA from 1 species
AGUGAACGCUGGCGGUAGGCCUAACACAUGCAGGUCGAACGGCAGCACAGUAAGAGCUUGCUCUUACGGGUGGCGAGUGGCGGACGGGUGAGGAAUACACCGGAAUCUACUUUUUCGUGGGGGAUAACGUAGGGAAACUUACGCUAAUACCGCAUACGACCUACGGGUGAAAGCAGGGGAUCUUCGGACCUUGCGCGAUUGAAUGAGCCGAUGUCGGAUUAGCUAGUUGGCGGGGUAAAGGCCCACCAAGGCGACGAUCCGUAGCUGGUCUGAGAGGAUGAUCAGCCACACUGGAACUGAGACACGGUCCAGACUCCUACGGGAGGCAGCAGUGGGGAAUAUUGGACAAUGGGCGCAAGCCUGAUCCAGCCAUACCGCGUGGGUGAAGAAGGCCUUCGGGUUGUAAAGCCCUUUUGUUGGGAAAGAAAAGCAGCAGGUUAAUACCCCGCUGUUCUGACGGUACCCAAAGAAUAAGCACCGGCUAACUUCGUG